UUACCUAAAUCAUGCUCUGAAUCCUAGUAGCUGACCUAUUUAUACUCACAUGAAUUGGAGGUCAACCAGUUGAAUACCCUUUAUUAUCAUGGGACAGACCGCAUCUAUUAAAUAUUUCUCCGUCAUCCUCAUCCUGUACCACUCACUACCCUUACUAAUUGUAAAGGCAGUUAUAAUUGUUCUGUAAACUACUCUUUUCAUUUCCCUUCUUGCCUCACCAAUCCAAAGAUUGGUGCUUCCUAAGGUGUACUUUUGAUCUUGUCAUUCACCUGCUCAAAAUAUCACAGUUUCUAAAUGCCCAACCUAUAGGCAUGCGUCCAAGAUCAUCUGUUCUUAGUCCACGACUUGUCUUUCUAUUUCUAGUUUACUAUACAGUCUUUGAGUUAUACUCCAGCAAUUUCAGAAUAUAUCUUGCAUGGUCCCACGUCCAUAAAUUUCUUCACUUGAAAUUUUCUACAUGUCCAUAAUGGUUUUGCUGAU